GUCGAUCUUGUUGAGGACGAGGCAGGGGGUGAGGCGCUCUACCCAGGCCUGACGAAGGACUGCGUGGGUCUGUAUGUGGACGCCCUCGACAGCGUCGACGAGGAUGAGGGCGCCGUCGCUGAGGCGGGCGGCGGUGGAGACCUCGCUGCAGAAGUCCAUGUGGCCAGGGGAGUCGAUGAGGUUGAUGAAGUGGGAGUUGUA
rnacentral:misc_RNA from 1 species